AGUGAACGCUGGCGGUAGGCCUAACACAUGCAAGUCGAACGGCAGCACAGUAAGAGCUUGCUCUUACGGGUGGCGAGUGGCGGACAAGUGAGGAAUACAUCGGAAUCUACUUUUUCGUGGGGGAUAACGUAGGGAAACUUACGCUAAUACCGCAUACGACCUACGGGUGAAAGCAGGGGAUCUUCGGACCUUGCGCGAUUGAAUGAGCCGAUGUCGGAUUAGCUAGUUGGCGGGGUAAAGGCCCACCAAGGCGACGAUCCGUAGCUGGUCUGAGAGGAUGAUCAGCCACACUGGAACUGAGACACGGUCCAGACUCCUACGGGAGGCAGCAGUGGGGAAUAUUGGACAAUGGGCGAAAGCCUGAUCCAGCCAUACCGCGUGGGUGAAGAAGGCCUUCGGGUUGUAAAGCCCUUUUGUUGGGAAAGAAAAGCAGCAGGUUAAUACCCCGCUGUUCUGACGGUACCCAAAGAAUAAGCACCGGCUAACUUCGU
rnacentral:rRNA from 1 species